rnacentral:rRNA from 1 species
GACGAGUGGCGGACGGGUGAGGAAUACAUCGGAAUCUGCCCGGUUGUGGGGGAUAACGUAUGGAAACUUACGCUAAUACCGCAUACGACCGAGAGGUGAAAGCGGGGGAUCGCAAGACCUCGCGCGAUCGGAUGAGCCGAUGUCGGAUUAGCUAGUUGGCGGGGUAAAGGCCCACCAAGGCGACGAUCCGUAGCUGGUCUGAGAGGAUGAUCAGCCACACUGGGACUGAGACACGGCCCAGACUCCUACGGGAGGCAGCAGUGGGGAAUAUUGGACAAUGGGGGCAACCCUGAUCCAGCAAUGCCGCGUGUGUGAAGAAGGCCUUCGGGUUGUAAAGCACUUUUAUCCGGAACGAAACGCGCUGCGUGAAUAACGUGGUGAACUGACGGUACCGGAGGAAUAAGCACCGGCUAACUUCGUGCCAGCAGCCGCGGUAAUACGAAGGGUGCAAGCGUUACUCGGAAUUACUGGGCGUAAAGCGUGCGUAGGUGGUUUGUUAAGUCUGCUGUGAAAGCCCCGGGCUCAACCUGGGAAUGGCAGUGGAUACUGGCAAGCUGGAGUGCGGUAGAGGGUAGUGGAUUCCCGGUGUAGCGGUGAAAUGCGUAAAGAUCGGGAGGAACACCAGUGGCGA